AUACGGAGGAUCCGAGCGUUAUCCGGAUUUAUUGGGUUUAAAGGGUGCGCAGGCGGCCAUUUAAGUCAGCGGUUAAAUCGUGGGGCUCAACCCCAUUCUGCCGUUGAUACUGGGUGGCUUGAUUGCGGUCGAGGUUGGCGGAAUUCGUUGUGUAGCGGUGAAAUGCAUAGAUAUGACGAAGAACACCGAUUGCGUGGGCAGCUGACCAGACCGCAAAUGACGCUCAUGCACGAAAGUGCGGGGAUCGAACAGGAUUAGAUACCCUGGUAGUCCGCACAGUAAACGAUGAAUACUUGUUUUCGGCGAUAUAAUGUCGGAGGCAAAGCGAAAGCGAUAAGUAUUCCACCUGGGGAGUACGCCGGCAACGGUGAAACUCAAAUGAAUUGACGGGG
rnacentral:rRNA from 1 species